UACGUAGGGUGCGAGCGUUAACCGGAAUUACUGGGCGUAAAGCGUGCGCAGGCGGUUUUGUAAGCCAGAUGUGAAAUCCCCGGGCUUAACCUGGGAAUGGCAUUUGGGACUUCAAGGCUCGAGUGCGGCAGAGGAGACUGGAAUUCCUGGUGUAGCAGUGAAAUGCGUAGAUAUCAGGAGGAACACCGAUGGCGAAGGCAGGUCUCUGGGCUGACACUGACGCUCAUGCACGAAAGCGUGGGGAGCAAACAGG
rnacentral:rRNA from 1 species